rnacentral:tmRNA from 1 species
GGGGCUGUUUGGUUUUGACAGCAGGAUGACUUGAGGUGUAAGCAUGCCGAGCGUUGUACGGGAGCUCGUAAAUAUCAACGUGCAAGCCGUAACCGGCGAAUCAAACUAUGCACUCGCUGCUUAAUCGUUAGACGAUUUAUAAGCUUAAUCCGCAAGUUCCAGGAACAUGCCGACGAGUAUCCCGCACUUGCGUUCCGCUCAUUAACGUAAGCGCUUAUGGGGUAUCAUAAUUUUGAGAUAGUCGAGUAAAAGCCUCGGGUGCUUGGCGAAAAUUUAGAGGAUAAGGGUUACAUUCGGCAGCAGCUCGCCUGAUGCAACCUCGAAAAUCGAAGAGCAGAUAAGCAUGUAGAAAGCACGUUAAGACCUUGUUUGGACACGGGUUCGACUCCCGUCAGCUCCACAA